rnacentral:rRNA from 1 species
GACGAACGCUGGCGGCGUGCCUAAUACAUGCAAGUAGAACGCUGAAGGAGGAGCUUGCUUCUCCGGAUGAGUUGCGAACGGGUGAGUAACGCGUAGGUAACCUGCCUGGUAGCGGGGGAUAACUAUUGGAAACGAUAGCUAAUACCGCAUAAGAGUAGAUGUCGCAUGACAUUUGCUUAAAAGGUGCAACUGCACCACUACCAGAUGGACCUGCGUUGUAUUAGCUAGUUGGUGAGGUAACGGCUCACCAAGGCAACGAUACAUAGCCGAGCUGAGAGGGGGGUCGGCCACAACUGGACUGAGGCACGGCCCAGACUCCUACGGGGGGCAGCAGUAGGGGAUCUUCGGCAAUGGGCGGAAGUCUGGCCGAGCAACGCCGCGUGGGUGAAGGAGGGUUUCGGAUCGUAAAGCUCUGUUGUAAGGGAAGAACGAGUGUGAGGGUGGAAAGUUCACACUGUGACGGUAUCUUACCAGAAAGGGACGGCUAACUACGUG